UCUAAGGCCCAGUCUCAUUACCAACUCCAACUAAUUCACAAUGAUAGAAAGGGAGAAACGCAAACCCUAAUGUCAUGAACAAAUAAACUAAGUCACCAACGAUUUAAUUAAACCGUGUUGCUGCGUGACGCCGUUCGUGUUGCCGCCAGUCGUAUUAACGUGAUUCUGUCAUCGAUUGGGUUGUUGAGUGUUGUUAAUGUGCUGCAGGAACGAACACCAAUUUUGAGCACCCCUUUGGAUUAACAUCGGCACCACCCCUUUUCAUCUCUACAAAAGGAAGAAUCCUCUCUGAUCCAUUGUGUGAGAUCCGUUGAGGCCAUCUCUGAGCCAUUUUCUGCCAUCUUACUCUUUUCAUCCUCAUUAGUAAGUUCUUUCUUCAUCCUCGCGAGUGAGUAUUCCUCUUUCUUUUUUGUGACGAUUUGAUUAAAAAACCUAAAUUCAUAUUUGGAUUUAAAAAUUUAGAACCUUUGUUGUUUUGCUUCAUUGAUAUAAAAUAUUGCAUAAGUAUAAAAUUAUUCAACUACUUUGCUUGCAUGAGAACCUAAAUGAUGUUUAAUUUUUCCUUCUGAAAUGGGUGGAAAAUCAUUUGUUGUUUUCGGGACUUAUUGAGAGACACAGAGGAUCAUGUUCUUGCAGCGGAAAUAUCUCAUUUCUUGAGCUACUUAUUUGGAGAUUGUCAGGCUUUAGGUGGAUCCAGAACUCCUGAAAAGGCAUGUAUCGAUGGUUGAAAAUAAAGAUGAAUGUCGGUAUAAUUGUAGGAUCACAUUAAUAUGAUCUUAGUUCUCCAACACCAUUCCAAACUUCAGGUGCAUUUGAUCUCAGUCAUGCGGUCAAAGCAUUCAGUUCCUUCACGCUCUAAAGCCAAGGAACUUGUGGAAACUUGGAAAACUUCAAUUGGACGAGCAUAAAUAAAUUAGAACUUAUUGGAUUUGGAUCAACUAUCGUGAAGAUAAAGAAUUGCACAACCUGCACUUGAAACACUGUCGGGCUGCAUCAACGGAAAAAUGUAUAUUCAGAUAUCAAUGAAGAUGAAAGAAGACGGCAGCAGAAGUGACGAACUUCAAGAGGACGACGUUGGUUAUGAAUAUCGAGAGGAUGACAUAGGUGAUAAAGAGGAUGAUGGAUAUUGCGAUGAGUUCGACAAAUUUAAAUGAGUUGGAUGAUCUUGUUUUAGGCUUGUACUUAAGCAUUAAACUUAAAGAAAAUAUGUAUUUUGUCAUUUUGCUAGACUUAUAUCUCUAAGUAUUUAAUGUAUAGUAUUAAGUAAUGUUUGAAGAUUUUAUAACACAACUUUUGUGGUACAUACAGUUUAUAUUUGGUAUUAGUGCAAUUAUUUUUUGAA